rnacentral:misc_RNA from 1 species
GUGUUACCCUAGGUUUAGCAAUUCGUUGCUCAUUGUCCGUUGGGAUGGUGUGAUUUUCUUGCGUGUACUGUAAAAUCGGUAAUACGAAUAUUGUAUAUGUAAUAAUUAAACUAUUUUGUGAACAAUUAACAGUUACAAACAUGGACGAUAAACUUCGGCAGAUGGAAGAUGAGAUGAACAGAUUUGAGGCCGAAAUCGGCGGGCAGCUCGUCACACCGAUUGUACGUCCAGUUAUUGGUGCAAAUACGUACAAUCAAGUUGCUAGGCAGUUGGAGCAACAUGAACUGCCGACUCCUGUAGUCGCGGCAGCCGCAGCAGCUACACUGGCAUUUCCUCCAAUGAUUGGAUUUCCACCACCACCUCCACCCCCACCUCCUCCACCGCCCCCACCGAUGUUAAUUCCGCAACAAGUAGCAAGACAAGGUACAGUUCCUAUUACAACAUAUUCCUCGCCCGCGCAAAUAAGUAAUCCGUACAUGUCAAAUAUGGUGGAUCCGUGUUUAAGUGCUACGCCGAAAACGUACGAUUCUACGUCAACGCCGAUGAUACACCCGGAAAUUAUUGAACAGAUUAUUAACACAAAGAUACCUGAGGACGAGGGUAAGAAGAAACCAAAAAUCAAGGGUGUCAGUACAGCAGCUGAGCUUGCCAUCAGUCAAGGAAAAGCGAGUUCUAUCAUGGCAAAUGCCAGCGCGGAGGAGAGUCAUCCUAAGGGUAAAGGCAAGAAAAACAAGAAGAUUAUAAGGACGGCGGGCGGACAAACAUGGGAGGACCCUUCGUUAUUGGAGUGGGAUGAGGAUGACUUCAGAAUAUUUUGUGGAGAUCUAGGGAACGAUGUCACCGACGAGAUGUUGGUGAGGGUGUUUGGCAAGUAUCCCAGCUUCCAGAAGGCGAAGGUGGUCAGAGAUAAACGGACGAACAAAACUAAGGGCUUCGGGUUUGUGUCGUUCAAGGAUCCGCAGGAUUUCAUUAAGGCAAUGAAGGAGAUGAACGAUGGAUGACGCUUUGUAGGCCAUUCGCCUAUCUUUCUUGUAGUUAUCUUAUUUUCGAAAAAUGGAUGACAAACACGCUGCGAAGAGACGCCUCCGCGAAUGCUGGGCAUAGUUUUAGUGGCGUAUAAACCGUGACAUGGUCAUUCGAGGCCCUGAAGUUCCGUUUCGAAGCGUUGUUUACGAUUAGGAGGACCAAGUGAGAUCGAGUCGCAGAGAAGAAAAAGAAAGAGGAAGAAGAAAAAGAACGUACCUUCGGAAUACGCCGAUCGUUCGUUCGUUCGUUCGACUUUCGUUUCCACUUCCUCGGCACGCUCUUGGAGCGGAAUUUUCGGGGCGGAUUUGCGGCUCGGAUGCGGGACCGCGCGGUUUCCGGUUAACCGUUGGGGUGGAUACGACCAAGUGCGUCGGGAAGCCGAGCGUCCCGCUACUCAUUCAACAACCCCUACCCUCCUGCUACAAAUUCUCCUUAUCGUCACCAUCUCUCAUCGUCGUCAUCGCCAAAGUCCUCGUUAUCAUCGUCAUCAUUACGAUUCUCCCGUUCGUUUUGGUCUCCCUCAGCUUGGACGGGUUUCUCUUGGAUGGGUAACGCAAGUUCCACAAGUGAUAAGAAUCACGGAUCACGGUUCUCGUUUUCUACGGAUUUAGGAUACACACAAAAGAAGAUACGUGGGUUCGCGACCUAUAAAACUCAGGAAGAGCUCUUGGAAACAGAGAAAUCUGGAGACCGUACGCAA